UAAUACGUAGGGUGCGAGCGUUGUCCGGAAUUACUGGGCGUAAAGAGCUCGUAGGUGGUUUGUCGCGUUGUUCGUGAAAACUCACAGCUUAACUGUGGGCGUGCGGGCGAUACGGGCAGACUGGAGUACUGCAGGGGAGACUGGAAUUCCUGGUGUAGCGGUGGAAUGCGCAGAUAUCAGGAGGAACACCGGUGGCGAAGGCGGGUCUCUGGGCAGUAACUGACGCUGAGGAGCGAAAGCGU
rnacentral:rRNA from 1 species